CAAUUACAGGGUUCAGAGGUCGUAGGCUAACAAGUUAGUUUAGUCUUUGCCAUCUAACGUUACAAUUAAUGUUAACUUUGUGAAUUGAAUUAAUGUUGACUUGCUAACGUUAGCUAGCUAGUUAUCCAACAGUUUUGUUCAAGUCGCUGUGCUUAACGUCAGUUAACUAGCAACCAUACGUAGUUAGCUACGUUAACUUAGCAAAACAACAGUUAGCGAGCUAACUAAUCAAGGUAACCAAGCUAGGGGACGCAGUGAGCAGGCCGCGUCUCACCGGAUGAUGCAGUCCUGUGGCUGCCUGCUAUCAUCGUUUUCCUGCCACCCCAGGAGAGUGUUGCGGAUAUGAACCAGAUGAAUGUCUGUUCAGGUUUCCCAAAUGAAACCCCACAGCACACAGCUUGGUCUACGUGAAAAUGUAGGACCAGACAUCUUACAAGCAGGAUGCUGAGGUGUUGAUGCCAGAGCCAGUGUUGAGUACACUGGUGGUCUAUCCAUCAUCAGGCUACUGCAUGUGUUCACAGAGGUUCUACUGAUGCCCACUCUGACCGUGGAGCCUUCAGGACGACAAACAGCUCCACUGGCCACCCCACCACAGCUGUUAUUGUUUUGUUGCUGAGCUGAGGAGCGUCGCGCAGCAUGGUUAAAAAAAGAUCUGUACAUAUUAGUGCUCUUCUAUCAGGGAGGGAGUGUUUGUUGCUGGGCUGAGAAGCAUCGUGCAGCAUGGUUAAAAAAAGAUCUGUACAUAUUAGUGCUCUUCUAUCAGGGAGGGAGUGUUUGUUUGCGCUAACUUCUUCUGUCAUUGUAAUAUCGAAGGACAAGUGGCUAAAAAUGUUUGUCAAAGCAAUGUAUUCCUCUGUCUCUCCCUCUUUCCAUGUCUCUGCCCAUAAACAGUCCUCCCUUGUCAAGUUGGGUAUCAAAGCUCCUCUGACCUAUUGACACUUAGCUCAUCUGAGCCCCAUUCCCGAACUUACAAUUCAAAAUAAACUCAG
ensembl:lncRNA